rnacentral:rRNA from 1 species
AUGGCUGUCGUCAGCUCGUGUCGUGAGAUGUUGGGUUAAGUCCCGCAACGAGCGCAACCCGCGUCCUUAGUUGCCAGCAUUCAGUUGGGCACUCUGGGGAGACUGCCGGUGACAAGCCGGAGGAAGGUGCGGAUGACGUCAAGUCAGCAUGCCCCUUACGCCCUGGGCGUCACACGUGCUACAAUGGCCAGUACAAAGGGUAGCCAGCCAGCG